UUUAACUUAGUUUAUAAAAACAUAAGCUUGUCAAGCUUGAGAUGCAAGUAUAUUGUAGUUAAAU
rnacentral:tRNA from 1 species